CCAAGGGUCAGGGGACAUCCUUAGGGGCCUAGGAAGACACCCCAGAUGGCCUAGGGAGCUGCUCUGAAUAUGGUUAGGAGAAGGGGUCAGUGCAGGAGAGAGAGCAUGCGCCUACUUCGUUUGAUCAGGAGUUUCAGUACAGAAAAAGUUUUAUGGCAACAAAUGGAAAGAACAAAGCUUUUCCUUAAAUAGUUUUUCUCGGCUUGAGGGCUGGUAUGAACGAACUCAUUCCAGGUGAGCUAAGCCCUGAAAGGUACAAGAACAGAAGAUCCGAGAUGCGUCCGAUGCCAGAGGCGGACACAGCCCAGUGUGCGUCUCUGCAGCGUCUGCUGGCCCAGCAGAGGGUCCGCCCUGAGAGCGAGGAACAGAAAGGAGCAGAUGGCAGCAAUCGGCCACAGGGCCUGGGAAGACAGAGGAACAAGAGAAUCUGGAGGUCAGAGCAGCUCGGUUCCUGCAUCUGACAGGCAGCGCCACGAGGAAUCCGUGUCACCUCAAGGUUGGCCGGCCUCUCCCCUAGCAGAGGGGACACAGGAUUCCAACCCAGCAGGAGAGAACUGCAGCCUGCCACACACCUGCCAGAGCAGAGAAAUGCAGAGACCUUCAGGCACACACAUCAGGAGAGAGGGUGCUCGGAUAUAAGCGAGAGGAAAUAUGGCCACAGCUGCAUCUUCUGCCGGGCCCUUGACCUGCUCGGGCACCUGUGUGUGCCACCAGCCAGCUCCCCCACUUUCCUUCCAGAAGGAGACUUGGAAGCUUGGGGCCCAAGAAGCCACCCUCCCUUCUAGCUGUCGCCCAUGUGGCUGUGCUCUGUAAUCCUAAGAGCAUACUGAAAUGCAGGUGGAAUACAAGAUGCUACAGGUAAUAAAGUUUAUCAG